rnacentral:rRNA from 1 species
CGGUUAAGUUAGAAAGGGCGCACGGUGGAUGCCUUGGCACUAGGAGCCGAUGAAGGACGGGACGAACACCGAUAUGCUUCGGGGAGCUGUAAGCAAGCUUUGAUCCGGAGAUUUCCGAAUGGGGAAACCCACCACUCGUAAUGGAGUGGUAUCCAUAUCUGAAUACAUAGGAUAUGAGAAGGCAGACCCGGGGAACUGAAACAUCUAAGUACCCGGAGGAAGAGAAAGCAAAUGCGAUUCCCUGAGUAGCGGCGAGCGAAACGGGAUCAGCCCAAACCAAGAGGCUUGCCUCUUGGGGUUGUAGGACACUCUGUACGGAGUUACAAAGGAACGAGGUAGAUGAAGAGGUCUGGAAAGGCCCGCCAUAGGAGGUAACAGCCCUGUAGUCAAAACUUCGUUCUCUCCUGAGUGGAUCCUGAGUACGGCGGAACACGUGAAAUUCCGUCGGAAUCCGGGAGGACCAUCUCCCAAGGCUAAAUACUCCCUAGUGACCGAUAGUGAACCAGUACCGUGAGGGAAAGGUGAAAAGCACCCCGGAAGGGGAGUGAAAGAGAUCCUGAAACCGUGUGCCUACAAGUAGUCAGAGCCCGUUAACGGGUGAUGGCGUGCCUUUUGUAGAAUGAACCGGCGAGUUACGAUCCCGUGCAAGGUUAAGCAGAAGAUGCGGAGCCGCAGCGAAAGCGAGUCUGAAUAGGGCGAAUUGAGUACGUGGUCGUAGACCCGAAACCAGGUGAUCUACCCAUGUCCAGGGUGAAGUUCAGGUAACACUGAAUGGAGGCCCGAACCCACGCACGUUGAAAAGUGCGGGGAUGAGGUGUGGGUAGGGGUGAAAUGCCAAUCGAACCUGGAGAUAGCUGGUUCUCUCCGAAAUAGCUUUAGGGCUAGCCUCAAGGUAAGAGUCUCGGAGGUAGAGCACUGAUUGGACUAGGGGCCCCUACCGGGUUACCGAAUUCAGUCAAACUCCGAAUGCCGAUGACUUAUCCUUGGGAGUCAGACUGCGAGUGAUAAGAUCCGUAGUCGAAAGGGAAACAGCCCAGACCGCCAGCUAAGGUCCCAAAGUAUACGUUAAGUGGAAAAGGAUGUGGAGUUGCUUAGACAACCAGGAUGUUGGCUUAGAAGCAGCCACCAUUUAAAGAGUGCGUAAUAGCUCACUGGUCGAGUGACUCUGCGCCGAAAAUGUACCGGGGCUAAACGUAUCACCGAAGCUGCGGACUGUUCUUCGAACAGUGGUAGGAGAGCGUUCUAAGGGCUGUGAAGCAAGACCGGAAGGACUUGUGGAGCGCUUAGAAGUGAGAAUGCCGGUAUGAGUAGCGAAAGAGGGGUGAGAAUCCCCUCCACCGAAUGCCUAAGGUUUCCUGAGGAAGGCUCGUCCGCUCAGGGUUAGUCGGGACCUAAGCCGAGGCCGAAAGGCGUAGGCGAUGGAUAACAGGUUGAUAUUCCUGUACCACCUCCUCACCAUUUGAGCAAUGGGGGGACGCAGGAGGAUAGGGUAAGCGCGGUAUUGGAUAUCCGCGUCCAAGCAGUUAGGCUGGGAAAUAGGCAAAUCCGUUUCCCGUGAAGGCUGAGCUGUGAUGGCGAGCGAAUUAUAGUAGCGAAGUUCCUGAUUCCACACUGCCAAGAAAAGCCUCUAGCGAGGUGAGAGGUGCCCGUACCGCAAACCGACACAGGUAGGCGAGGAGAGAAUCCUAAGGUGAUCGAGAGAACUCUCGUUAAGGAACUCGGCAAAAUGACCCCGUAACUUCGGGAGAAGGGGUGCUCUGUUAGGGUGCAAGCCCGAGAGAGCCGCAGUGAAUAGGCCCAGGCGACUGUUUAGCAAAAACACAGGUCUCUGCGAAGCCGUAAGGCGAAGUAUAGGGGCUGACGCCUGCCCGGUGCUGGAAGGUUAAGAGGAGCGCUUAGCGUAAGCGAAGGUGCGAAUUGAAGCCCCAGUAAACGGCGGCCGUAACUAUAACGGUCCUAAGGUAGCGAAAUUCCUUGUCGGGUAAGUUCCGACCCGCACGAAAGGCGCAACGAUCUGGGCACUGUCUCAACGAGAGACUCGGUGAAAUUAUAGUACCUGUGAAGAUGCAGGUUACCCGCGACAGGACGGAAAGACCCCGUGGAGCUUUACUGCAGCCUGAUAUUGAAUGUUGGUACAGCUUGUACAGGAUAGGUAGGAGCCUUGGAAAUCGGAGCGCCAGCUUCGGUGGAGGCAUCGGUGGGAUACUACCCUGGCUGUAUUGACCUUCUAACCCGCCGCCCUUAUCGGGCGGGGAGACAGUGUCAGGUGGGCAGUUUGACUGGGGCGGUCGCCUCCUAAAAGGUAACGGAGGCGCCCAAAGGUUCCCUCAGAAUGGUUGGAAAUCAUUCGCAGAGUGUAAAGGCACAAGGGAGCUUGACUGCGAGACCUACAAGUCGAGCAGGGACGAAAGUCGGGCUUAGUGAUCCGGUGGUUCCGCAUGGAAGGGCCAUCGCUCAACGGAUAAAAGCUACCCCGGGGAUAACAGGCUUAUCUCCCCCAAGAGUCCACAUCGACGGGGAGGUUUGGCACCUCGAUGUCGGCUCAUCGCAUCCUGGGGCUGUAGUCGGUCCCAAGGGUUGGGCUGUUCGCCCAUUAAAGCGGUACGCGAGCUGGGUUCAGAACGUCGUGAGACAGUUCGGUCCCUAUCCGUCGCGGGCGCAGGAAAUUUGAGAGGAGCUGUCCUUAGUACGAGAGGACCGGGAUGGACGCACCGCUGGUGUACCAGUUGUUCUGCCAAGGGCAUCGCUGGGUAGCUAUGUGCGGACGGGAUAAGUGCUGAAAGCAUCUAAGCAUGAAGCCCCCCUCAAGAUGAGAUUUCCCAUUCCGCAAGGAAGUAAGAUCCCUGAAAGAUGAUCAGGUUGAUAGGUCUGAGGUGGAAGUGUGGCGACACAUGGAGCUGACAGAUACUAAUCGAUCGAGGACUUAACCAAUUU